rnacentral:rRNA from 1 species
AGAGUUUGAUCCUGGCUCAGGAUUAACGCUGGCGGCGUGCUUAACACAUGCAAGUCGAACGAGGCAUACCUUCGGGUAUGCCGAGUGGCGGACGGGUGAGUAACGCGUGGGGAACCUGCCCGGUACAGGGGGACAACAGUUGGAAACGGCUGCUAAUACCGCAUAAGCGCACGGGGACGCAUGUCCAUGUGUGAAAAGAUUUAUCGGUACCGGAUGGACCCGCGUCUGAUUAGCCUGUUGGUGAGGUAACGGCCCACCAAAGCAACGAUCAAUAGCCGAUCUGAGAGGAUGACCGGCCACAUUGGGACUGAGAGACGGCCCAAACUCCUACGGGAGGCAGCAGUGGGGAAUAUUGCACAAUGGAGGAAACUCUGAUGCAGCGACGCCGCGUGAGUGAAGAAGUAUUUCGGUAUGUAAAGCUCUAUCAGCAGGGAAAAGAAUGAUGGUACCUGAUUAAGAAGCACCGGCUAAAUACGUGCCAGCAGCCGCGGUAAUACGUAUGGUGCAAGCGUUAUCCGGAUUUACUGGGUGUAAAGGGAGCGCAGGUGGCAUGGCAAGCCAGAAGUGAAAGCCCGCGGCUUAACUGCGGGACUGCUUUUGGAACUGUUGUGCUGGAGUGCAGGAGGGGUAAGCGGAAUUCCUGGUGUAGCGGUGAAAUGCGUAGAUAUCAGGAGGAACACCGGUGGCGAAGGCGGCUUACUGGACUGUAACUGACACUGAGGCUCGAAAGCGUGGGGAGCAAACAGGAUUAGAUACCCUGGUAGUCCACGCGGUAAACGAUGAAUACCAGGUGUCGGGGAUCGAAGAUUCCCGGUGCCGUCGCAAACGCAGUAAGUAUUCCACCUGGGGAGUACGUUCGCAAGAAUGAAACUCAAAGGAAUUGACGGGGACCCGCACAAGCGGUGGAGCAUGUGGUUUAAUUCGAAGCAACGCGAAGAACCUUACCUGCUCUUGACAUCCCUCUGAAUGAGCGGCAAUGCGCUCAGGCCUUCGGGACAGGGGAGACAGGUGGUGCAUGGUUGUCGUCAGCUCGUGUCGUGAGAUGUUGGGUUAAGUCCCGCAACGAGCGCAACCCUUAUCUUCAGUAGCCAGCAUGAAAGAUGGGAACUCUGGAGAGACUGCCCGGGAUAACCGGGAGGAAGGCGGGGAUGACGUCAAAUCAUCAUGCCCCUUAUGAGCAGGGCUACACACGUGCUACAAUGGCGUAAACAAAGAGAAGCGAGGCUGUGAAGCGGAGCGAAUCUCAAAAAUAACGUCUCAGUUCGGAUUGUAGUCUGCAACUCGACUACAUGAAGCUGGAAUCGCUAGUAAUCGCAGAUCAGAAUGCUGCGGUGAAUACGUUCCCGGGUCUUGCACUCACCGCCCGUCA